rnacentral:lncRNA from 1 species
CCCGCCCCGAGCCCUGGCUCCCGCCGCCGGCGCCCGCGAUUGGCCGCGUUGGGCGCCAAUGCCCGCCCCGUGCGAGCCGCCCCCGCCCCCGCGGAGGGGAGCGAGCGCUCGCGGGCCCGUGGUGGGUUCGGCUGCGCUGCGUGAGGGGCUGAGGCGGUCGUGGUGGCGCGAGCGCAGGGAGCGGACAUUGGGUUCCUGAACCUCGGUGCUGAAGACAGCCAGGCCUCCAGCACAGCUCUCUGGACGACAGGGG